CUGACGCAUGAAUGUCGAUAGCACUCAGGAGGGAGGGAACUUGUACAUUUUAUAUAAAGGAGCAGAUAUAAACCAGUGAGACUCAGAACUGGUGAACAGUCAAAGCUCAGAGACUCCAUUCUUCCAACUUUGAAGAUUGAAAAAUGAAGAUGAAGAUUUUGUUCAUGACUCUUGUUCUUGCCUUGAUGCUGAUGAGUGGUUCUACUUUGGUAUGUUACCGCUGUCCUAUAAAUGAAGGCCAAUGUUCUCCCAAGAUUGCAAGGUGUGAAAAGAAGGAGAUCUGUGCUUCUGGCCAAGUCUUUGCCACUCGCUAUAACAGAACUGUCGAAUUCAGAGGGUGCAUUUCUGAGAAUCUAUGCAACGUUAUGGACAACCUGUUUACUUUCCCAAGCAUCAAAUGCUGUAAGCGCAACUUAUGCAAUAACUAAGCUGGUGCUGACCCAUGGAGGUGCUUGAUCUAAAAGAUGGUCUCCUAAUGAUUACUGAUUUUUUGGUCUUCUGGCAUGUAUUUAACAAUAUCAAAGUCUGUUUCUCCUCAAACAAAUUCUGAAACUGAAUAAAUAUUAAAAGUAUAUUCUGCAAAUGAAUUUCUGAGCAUAUUUUUGACCUGAGUUGCAAGGCUGUGGAGCAUUAAGACAGUCUAUUAUUUGUAGAAUUAUUGGAUUAAUUUUAUUGCAUUAAAUGAUCUUAUACAUGGCAUCCAACAUAUCAGUGUACUCAGCCACUAGCUGCUUUACAAUCAAAUAAAAUUUCACCAAAUGACAUCAAA